rnacentral:rRNA from 1 species
CGGACGAACGCUGGCGGCGUGCUUAAAACAUGCAAGUCGAACGGACUUCUCAUGAAGCUUGCGAUUGAGAAGUUAGUGGCGGACGGGUGAGUAACGCGUGGGCAACCUGCCCCUGAGCCCGGGAUAACAGUUCGAAAGGACUGCUAAGACCGGAUAUACUUGCGGGGAAGCAUUUCACUGCAAGGAAAGGGAACGCUCAGGGAUGGGCCCGCGUCCCAUUAGCUAGUUGGUGAGGUAACGGCCCACCAAGGCGACGAUGGGUAGCCGGCCUGAGAGGGUGAACGGCCACACUGGGACUGAGACACGGCCCAGACUCCUACGGGAGGCAGCAGUUGGGAAUCUUCGGCAAUGGGCGCAAGCCUGACCGAGCAACGCCGCGUGAGUGAUGAAGGUUUUCGGAUUGUAAAGCUCUGUCUUCCGGGACGAUAAUGACGGUACCGGAGGAGGAAGCCACGGCUAACUACGUG